rnacentral:rRNA from 1 species
GACGAACGCUGGCGGCGUGCUUAACACAUGCAAGUCGAACGGAAAGACCCUGCUUUUGUGGGGUGCUCGAGUGGCGAACGGGUGAGUAACACGUGAGUAACCUGCCCUUGACUUUGGGAUAACUUCAGGAAACUGGGGCUAAUACCGGAUAGGAGCUCCUGCUGCAUGGUGGGGGUUGGAAAGUUUCGGCGGUUGGGUAUGGACUCGCGGCUUAUCAGCUUGUUGGUGGGGUAGUGGCUUACCAAGGCUUUGACGGGUAGCCGGCCUGAGAGGGUGACCGGCCACAUUGGGACUGAGAUACGGCCCAGACUCCUACGGGAGGCAGCAGUGGGGAAUAUUGCACAAUGGGCGGAAGCCUGAUGCAGCAACGCCGCGUGCGGGAUGACGGCCUUCGGGUUGUAAACCGCUUUCGCCUGUGACGAAGCGUGAGUGACGGUAAUGGGUAAAGAAGCACCGGCUAACUACGUG